GUGACGGCUGUCGAUCAAUAACAUGGAGGGAUGUGGUCGCCGGUAACUCACCGAAAUACGGUCCGGGAAAUUUACCAGGAAGCACAACUUAGUAAAUAAUGACUCUUCACAUAAGUGCGUCACAGACGGCUGAGGACACACAGACAGCGGUGCAGAGUUUACAGCCACCACUCACCACUCCACUGAACCGGGGCAACACCACGGAGAGGAUGCUGCCAGAGACGCUCUGAUCAGAGUUUCUGAGAUAAUCUGUGGUGGUCCACCUGUCCUGGAGGAUUUCAGUGUCCCACACAAAUGGAGGAAAUCAGACCGCAGACAUAAACACUUUA